GAUGAACGCUGGCGGCGUGCCUAAUACAUGCAAGUCGAGCGAACGGACGAGAAGCUUGCUUCUCUGAUGUUAGCGGCGGACGGGUGAGUAACACGUGGAUAACCUACCUAUAAGACUGGGAUAACUUCGGGAAACCGGAGCUAAUACCGGAUAAUAUUUUGAACCGCAUGGUUCAAAAGUGAAAGACGGUCUUGCUGUCACUUAUAGAUGGAUCCGCGCUGCAUUAGCUAGUUGGUAAGGUAACGGCUUACCAAGGCAACGAUGCAUAGCCGACCUGAGGGGGGGUUCGGCCACACUGGAGCUGAGACACGGUCCAGACACCGACGGGAGGCAGCAGUAGGUAAGCUUCCGCAAUGGGCGAAAUCCUGACGGAGCAACGCCACGUUAGUGAUGAAGGUCUGCGGAUCGUAAAACUCUGUUAGUAGGGAAGAACAUAUGUGUAAGUAACUGUGCACAUCUGGACGGUACCUAAUCAGAAAGCCACGGCUAACUACGU
rnacentral:rRNA from 1 species